rnacentral:rRNA from 1 species
CUCAGGAUGAACGCUAGCUACAGGCUUAACACAUGCAAGUCGUGGGGCAGCAUGGAGUUGCUUGCAAACUCUGAUGGCGACCGGCGCACGGGUGAGUAACGCGUAUCCAACCUGGCCCUUAGUAGGGGAUAGCCCGGCGAAAGUCGGAUUAAUACCCUAUGUUUUCCAAUGCAGACAUCUAAAAUGGAACAAAGAUUUAUCGCUAAGGGAUGGGGAUGCGUCUGAUUAGGUAGUCGGCGGGGUAACGGCCCACCGAGCCAUCGAUCAGUAGGGGUUCUGAGAGGAAGGUCCCCCACAUUGGAACUGAGACACGGUCCAAACUCCUACGGGAGGCAGCAGUGAGGAAUAUUGGUCAAUGGGCGAGAGCCUGAACCAGCCAAGUAGCGUGCCAGGACGACGGCCCUAUGGGUUGUAAACUGCUUUUAUAUGAGGAUAAAGUCGCCUACGUGUAGGUGUUUGCAGGUACCAUAUGAAUAAGGACCGGCUAAUUCCGUGCCAGCCGCCGC